GAGAGUGGGUAGUCCGCACGAGCGCACCUCACUUUUAGUUGCCAUCAUUUAGUUGGGCACUCUAAAAGAACUGCCAGUGAUAAGCUGGAGGAAGGUGGGGAUGACGUCAAGUCCUCAUGGCCCUUACGUGUUGGGCUACACACGUGCUACAAUGGUACUUACAGUGAGAAGCUAAGGCGCGAGUCUAAGCAAAUCCCUAAAAGGUACCUCAGUUCGGAUUGUACUCUGCAACUCGAGUACAUGAAGCUGGAAUUACUAGUAAUCGCAGAUCAGCGCGCUGCGGUGAAUACGUUCCCGGGUCUUGUACACACCGCCCGUCACACCAUGGAAGUUGGUUACACCUUAAGGCAAAGUGUAAAAUCUUUGACUACGGUACGAUCAGCAACUGGGGUGAAGUCGUAGCAAGGUAGCCGUAGGGGAACCUGCGGCUGGGUCACCUCCUUUCU
rnacentral:rRNA from 1 species